rnacentral:rRNA from 1 species
AUUGAACGCUGGCGGAAUGCUUUACACAUGCAAGUCGAACGGCAGCACGGACUUCGGUCUGGUGGCGAGUGGCGAACGGGUGAGUAAUACAUCGGAACGUGCCCAGUCGUGGGGGAUAACGUAGCGAAAGCUACGCUAAUACCGCAUACGAUCUAAGGAUGAAAGCGGGGGAUCGCAAGACCUCGCGCGACUGGAGCGGCCGAUGGCAGAUUAGGUAGUUGGUAGGGUAAAGCCUACCAAGCCGACGAUCUGUAGCUGGUCUGAGAGGACGACCAGCCACACUGGGACUGGGACACGGCCCAGACUCCUACGGGAGGCAGCAGUGGGGAAUUUUGGACAAUGGACGCAAGUCUGAUCCAGCCAUUCCGCGUGCAGGAUGAAGGCCCUCGGGUUGUAAACUGCUUUUGUACAGAACGAAAAGGCUCUGGUUAAUACCUGGAGCUCAUGACGGUACUGUAAGAAUAAGCACCGGCUAACUACGUGCCAGCCGCCGCCGUAA